rnacentral:rRNA from 1 species
AGUGAACGCUGGCGGUAGGCCUAACACAUGCAAGUCGAACGGCAGCACAGUAAGAGCUUGCUCUUACGGGUGGCGAGUGGCGGACGGGUGAGGAAUACAUCGGAAUCUACUUUUUCGUGGGGGAUAACGUAGGGAAACUUACGCUAAUACCGCAUACGACCUACGGGUGAAAGCAGGGGAUCUUCGGACCUUGCGCGAUUGAAUGAGCCGAUGUCGGAUUAGCUAGUUGGCGGGGUAAAGGCCCACCAAGGCGACGAUCCGUAGCUGGUCUGAGAGGAUGGUCAGCCGCACUGGAACUGAGACACGGUCCAGCCUCCUACGGGAGGCAGCAGUGGGGAAUAUUGGACAAUGGGCGCAAGCCUGAUCCAGCCAUACCGCGUGGGUGAAGAAGGCCUUCGGGUUGUAAAGCCCUUUUGUUGGGAAAGAAAAGCAGCAGGUUAAUACCCCGCUGUUCUGACGGUACCCAAAGAAUAAGCACCGGCUAACUUCGUG